CAAAGUCUCACGUAUGCGGCUGCCUUUUCUCAUCUGAAAGAAACUUCAACCUUUCUUCUUCUUUAAUUCCCGAUAUCUGCAUCUAUUUAUACACAAACUCAUUCCAAAAACUCUCAUUCAUCCAUUCAUUCUUCUCAUUUCUCUAACUCCUUUCUGUUUUACUUUUACAUCUUCUUUAUUAAAUAUUAUUAUUAUAUUAUUCUCAUUCUUCUGGGAAUUUUAAUCGAAAAUGAUGAUGAGAUUAGAUGUUCUACCAGUUAUCGGUUUCAUGGUUAUGGCGAUUCUUCAACUUCAACUUACUCAAGCCCAAAACUUUGCUCCUUCACCAACUCCAAAUCCUUCAAAUGAUGGGGCAGCAAUUGAUCAAGGGAUAGCUUAUCUGCUUCUACUCGUAGCAUUGGCAAUCACAUAUCUUGUACAUUAAUAGUAAUACAUUUAUUUUUAUUCAAUAUUAGUUAAAAUUCUUUUAUUAUUAUAAUCCAUGAUUUAUGAUUGAUGAA